AACGAACGCUGGCGGCAUGCCUAACACAUGCAAGUCGAACGAGACCUUCGGGUCUAGUGGCGCACGGGUGCGUAACGCGUGGGAACCUGCCUUUAGGUUCGGGAAUAACUCAGAGAAAUUUGAGCUAAUACCGGAUAAUGUCUUCGGACCAAAGAUUUAUCGCCUUUAGAUGGGCCCGCGUUGGAUUAGCUAGUUGGUGGGUAAAGCCUACCAAGGCGACGAUCCAUAGCUGGUCUGAGAGGAUGACCAGCCACACUGGGACUGAGACACGGCCCAGACUCCUACGGAGGCAGCAGUGGGAAUUUGGACAAUGGGCGCAAGCCUGAUCCAGCAAUGCC
rnacentral:rRNA from 1 species